rnacentral:rRNA from 1 species
UAAAGAAUAUUGGACAAUGGAGGCAACUCUGAUCCAGCCAUGCCGCGUGAAGGAAUAAGGCCCUAUGGGUUGUAAACUUCUUUUAGACGGGACAAAACCCCUUUACGUGUAAAGGGUUGAUGGUACUGUCAGAAUAAGCAUCGGCUAACUUCGUGCCAGCAGCCGCGGUAAUACGAAGGAUGCAAGCGUUAUCCGGAAUUAUUGGGUUUAAAGGGUGCGUAGGCGGACUAAUAAGUCAGUGGUGAAAGCCUGCAGCUUAACUGCAGAAUUGCCAUUGAUACUGUUAGUCUUGAGUACAGUUGAGGUAGGCGGAAUGUGUCCUGUAGCGGUGAAAUGCUUAGAUAUGACACAGAACACCGAUUGCGAAGGCAGCUUGCUAAGCUGUAACUGACGCUGAGGCACGAAAGCGUGGGGAGCAAACA